GUCUAAUAGCGUCACUACGGUUCCCGACCCUUCAUCGCGAAGGCCGGGAUAAUAGGGAAUCCGGUAACAGGCGCAACGCCUGAAAGCCGGAGCUGCCCCCGCAACUGUAUCCGGCGAGCGCGCCGCUCAUCCAAAGCCACUGGUGACACACCGGGAAGGCCGGCGACGCGCAACGACCCGGAAGCCAGGAGACCUGCCGUGGAUUCGAGUCUGUU
rnacentral:ncRNA from 2 species